UACAGAGGUCUCAAGCGUUGUUCGGAUUCAUUGGGCGUAAAGGGUGCGUAGGCGGCGCGGUAAGUCGGGUGUGAAAUCUCGGAGCUUAACUCCGAAACUGCAUUCGAUACUGCCGUGCUUGAGGACUGGAGAGGAGACUGGAAUUUACGGUGUAGCGGUGAAAUGCGUAGAUAUCGUAAGGAAGACCAGUGGCGAAGGCGGCUCGCUGGACCGGAACUGACGCUGAGGCGCGAAAGCGUGGGGAGCAAACAGG
rnacentral:rRNA from 1 species